GAUGAACGCUAGCUACAGGCUUAACACAUGCAAGUCGCAGGGUAACGUGAGAGAAGCUUGCUUCCCUUGACGACGACUGGCGCACGGGUGAGUAACGCGUAUCCAACCUUCCCAUGACCACGGGAUAACCCGUUGAAAGACGGACUAAUACCGUAUGACGUCGUUUGCUGACAUCAAAUAACGAUUAAAGGUUUAGCGGUGAUGGAUGGGGAUGCGUCUGAUUAGCUUGUUGGCGGGGUAACGGCCCACCAAGGCUACGAUCAGUAGGGGUUCUGAGAGGAAGGUCCCCCACAUUGGAACUGAGACACGGUCCAAACUCCUACGGGAGGCAGCAGUGAGGAAUAUUGGUCAAUGGGCGAGAGCCUGAACCAGCCAAGUAGCGUGCAGGAUGACGGCCCUAUGGGUUGUAAACUGCUUUUAUGCGGGGAUAAAGUGCGUGACGUGUCAUGCAUUGCAGGUACCGCAUGAAUAAGGACCGGCUAAUUCC
rnacentral:rRNA from 1 species